UACGAAGGGGGCUAGCGUUGCUCGGAAUCACUGGGCGUAAAGCGCACGUAGGCGGACUCUUAAGUCGGGUGGUGAAAUCCUGGAGCUCAACUCCAGAACUGCCUUCGAUACUGAGAGUCUCGAGUCCGAGAGAGGUGAGUGGAACUGCGAGUGUAGAGGUGAAAUUCGUAGAUAUUCGCAAGAACACCAGUGGCGAAGGCGGACUCACUGGCUCGGUACUGACGCUGAGGUGCGAAAGCGUGGGGAGCAAACGG
rnacentral:rRNA from 1 species